rnacentral:rRNA from 1 species
CAGCCGCCGCGGUAAUACGUAGGUGGCUAGCGUUGCUCGGAAUUACUGGGCGUAAAGGGAGCGUAGGCGGAUCGUUUAGUCAGGGGUGAAAUCCCGGGGCUCAACCUCGGAACUGCCUUUGAUACUGGCGAUCUUGAGUAUGGGAGAGGUGUGCGGAACUCCGAGUGUAGAGGUGAAAUUCGUAGAUAUUCGGAAGAACACCAGUGGCGAAGGCGACUCUCUGGUCUGUAACUGACGCUGAGGAGCGAAAGCGUGGGGAGCGAACAGGAUUAGAUACCCGAGUAGUCCCUGUCUCUUAUAA